AGCUCAUCCAAGAACAUGCAAAGACCAACAUAUCAUCUUAUGGACGUCUAUGUGAGGUCGUGGAUCAUGUCUUCCCUCUUCUGAUAAGAGGGAACACCGCCGACUUCCCCUGUUCAGACAUCUUCAGCCAGUUCACCUUCUGGAGAGAGCAGUUACCAGAGGUAGACAAGCAGGAUCAACAUGCCGAGAGCAGCUGAAAGGACAUAC